AGUCUCUCGAAACCGCGCCUUUUUCUUUUCGAAAGGGGAGCGGCCUUCGGAUUUGGACGCCUGCCGCGCGCGCGCCCUUCGGGGUUUCGCGGCUCGUCUCUAAACGCAUUAGCGAACCGCCCAUGUCCGCUCUCAGACGCGAUAAGCUUGCGUCGUCAACGAGCGGUCGCGUCGGGUUUAGCCGUCCGCUGCUAAAAAGAACCUAAUUUCACCG
rnacentral:misc_RNA from 1 species